rnacentral:misc_RNA from 1 species
GGAGGAGCUGCUGAAACAGCUGGAUGAUCUGAAGGUGGAACUUUCCCAGCUCCGCGUUGCCAAGGUUACCGGUGGAGCUGCUUCCAAGCUCUCAAAAAUCCGUGUUGUCCGCAAGUCCAUCGCCAGAGUCCUCACAGUCAUCAACCAGACACAGAAGGAGAACUUGAGGAAGUUUUACAAGGGUAAGAAGUACAAGCCUUUGGACCUGAGACCCAAGAAGACCCGUG